UCCCUGGUGGUCCAGUGGAUAAGACUCUGUACUCCCAAUGCAGGGGGCCUGGGUUUGAUUCCUGGUCAGAGAA
rnacentral:tRNA from 1 species